UUAUUAGGUCUUUCCACCUUUCUGUGGAAAGACCUAUUGAAUUUGUUCUGAUUAUUAUUAGGUCUUUCCACCUUUCCGUGGAAAGACCUAUUGAAUUUGUUCUGAUUAUUAGGUCUUUCCACCUUUCCGUGGAAAGACCUAUUGAAUUUGUUCUGAUUAUUAUUAUUAUUAUUUUUUUUUUUUUUUUCUUCCGCCUAAUUUUUUUUCUUGUGUAUUAUUGAUGUUUCAAAAGAUGUCGCUUAGAUAUUUGGAAUAUGGUAUCGUAUAGUUUAUACGCUUUAAAAAUUUACAACUGUGUAACAAAAUACUUUACGUUGUAAGAGUUAUCUCCCCAAACACUGUUUUUCUUGUGGCCACUACUCCUUCGCAACCGUUAAAGAUUACGACAAAUUUAUUUUACCAAAUUGCUCGUUACAUCUUCAGGAUUAGGAUAUUCAUUUGGACCGAAGCUUUACGGAGACUCCAUAUGAGAGUUAUUCCCCUUUUCCCUUAAAUUAAGUGAUAUGCAUUUCUAAAUGGUAAACCAUAAGUGAUAAAGACAUAGGGUCUUUAGAUUUGGGGUCCUUGGUCCAAAAUAAUAAAAAUGAGGUCAAGGUCAAAGGUCAAGGUCAUAUUCUAAAUAUUUUGAUUUUGGCUUAUUUUCAUUUAUUUUCAAAUACCUUAUGACAUAUCGACAAAUAAUUUUUCAUAAAUUGUUAGUUGCGACAUGUCCUUACUUGUAUAUUUUGAUUGAAAGGGUGCGCAGGCAAUAAAUAGGAGUUUUUGCCCAUCUUACAUUUAGAAUUACACGUAAAGUGAUAUUACUAAUAAACCAAACAUAUUAAAGACCUUGGGUCUUUUGAUUUAAGGUCCUUGGUUUGUGAACUUGAAAUUGAGGUCAAGGUCAUAGGUCAAUAUGACGUUCUAGAUUUUGACCUUUGCUUUAAAUUCAUAUAAAUACAUCAUACAGCCAUAGGAACUAACAUUUUAAACUGAUUUUUAAUAUUUCAAUAUCAAAAUAGAUCUUUUCUAGUGGAAAGACCUACAAUUGUUCUCUGAACAAUUGGUUUUUAAUUAUUAUUAUUAUUUUUUUUUUUUUUCUUCCGCCUAAUUUUUUUUCUUGCGUAUUAUUGAUGUUUCAAAAGAUGUCGCUUAGAUAUUUGGAAUAUGGUAUCGUAUAGUUUAUACGCUUUAAAACUUUACAACUGUGUAACAAAAUACUUUACGUUGUAAGAGUUAUCUCCCCAAACACUGUUUUUCUUGUGGCCACUACUCCUUCGCAACCGUUAAAGAUUACGACAAAUUUAUUUUACCAAAUUGCUCGUUACAUCUUCAGGAUUAGGAUAUUCAUUUGGACCGAAGCUUUACGGAGACUCCAUAUGAGAGUUAUUCCCCCUUUUCCAUUUAAUUAAGUGAUAUGCAUUUCUAAAUGGUAAACCAUAAGUGAUAAAGACAUAGGGUCUUUAGAUUUGGGGUCCUUGGUCGAAAAUAAUAAAAAUGAGGUCAAGGUCAAAGGUCAAGGUCAUAUUCUAAAUUUUGAUUUUGGCUUAUUUUCAUUUAUUUUCAAAUACCUUAUGACAUAUCGACAAAUAAUUUUUCAUAAAUUGUUAGUUGCGACAUGUCCUUACUUGUAUAUUUUGAUUGAAAGGGUGCGCAGACAAUAAAUGGGAGUUUUUGCCCAUCUUACAUUUAGAAUUACGCGUAAAGUGAUAUUACUAAUAAACCAAACAUAUUAAAGACCUUGGGUCUUUUGAUUUAAGGUCCUUGGUUUGUGAACUUGAAAUUGAGGUCAAGGUCAUAGGUUGAUAUGACGUUCUAGAUUUUGACCUUUGCUUUAAAUUCAUAUAAAUACAUCAUAAAGCCAUAGGAACUAACAUUUUAAACUGAUUUUUAAUAUUUCAAUAUCAAAAUAGAUCUUUUACUAGUGGAAAGACCUACAAUUGUUCUCUGAACAAUUGGUUUUUAAUUAUUAUUAUUUUUUUUUUUUUUUUUUCUUCCGCCUAAUUUUUUUUCUUGCGUAUUAUUGAUGUUUCAAAAGAUGUCGCUUAGAUAUUUGGAAUAUGGUAUCGUAUAGUUUAUACGCUUUAAAACUUUACAACUGUGUAACAAAAUACUUUACGUUGUAAGAGUUAUCUCCCCAAACACUGUCUUUCUUGUGGCCACUACUCCUUCGCAACCGUUAAAGAUUACGACAAAUUUAUUUUACCAAAUUGCUCGUUACAUCUUCAGGAUUAGGAUAUUCAUUUGGACCGAAGCUUUACGGAGACUCCAUAUGAGAGUUAUUCCCCCUUUUCCAUUUAAUUAAGUGAUAUGCAUUUCUAAAUGGUAAACCAUAAGUGAUAAAGACAUAGGGUCUUUAGAUUUGGGGUCCUUGGUCGAAAAUAAUAAAAAUGAGGUCAAGGUCAAAGGUCAAGGUCAUAUUCUAAAUUUUGAUUUUGGCUUAUUUUCAUUUAUUUUCAAAUACCUUAUGACAUAUCGACAAAUAAUUUUUCAUAAAUUGUUAGUUGCGACAUGUCCUUACUUGUAUAUUUUGAUUGAAAGGGUGCGCAGACAAUAAAUGGGAGUUUUUGCCCAUCUUACAUUUAGAAUUACGCGUAAAGUGAUAUUACUAAUAAACCAAACAUAUUAAAGACCUUGGGUCUUUUGAUUUAAGGUCCUUGGUUUGUGAACUUGAAAUUGAGGUCAAGGUCAUAGGUUGAUAUGACGUUCUAGAUUUUGACCUUUGCUUUAAAUUCAUAUAAGGCCAAAAAAAAAAAUAGGUGUGUUUCCGGUCGCCCGACCGACCCUAAUUUUUUGGCGCCGACCCUAACUUUUUUUUUCCCGGAAAAAAAAAAAAAAAAAAAAUCCGGAUUUUUUCGUUUUUUUCCGGAAACGGUUUUUGUUUAGUAUAGCCUUUGAAUGGCAUCUUUUAAACGUUUGAUUUCAAAUAAAAUUUUAAUACAGUAAGCAUUUGUGUGAUACAGAUUGAAGUCAAACAACGGCAUGGCUUCUGCUAUGGCCAUCAGUCAAAGUGUGUUAUCAAUAACAAUCGAUGAUUUUCUUUUAAACAGCUAGUAUAUAAUCAAAAUUUCAAAGAUUUUCACCCAUCCCUCUGUCAUGUUUUUAAUAUUUGGUAUUUGUAGAAAAGCUGGCAUCAGUUCUGUGAACUAAAUUGUCUGAAAGAAACUGAUUAUAAAACAGGUCUUUGCUGAGACAGACUUUGAUGGGCUUUCUGUGUAAGACUAUAGCCUGACCCGUACAGAUGGCAUAUCAGUUCUGAAAAGUUUGAAAAUUUUAUAAGCUGGAAGUCCUGGCCAAGUCUUCUGCAACUUUUGAACAUGGACUAUUCAUAUCUUGUAUACUUUAUACAAUGAACUGAUGAAAAUAACCUGAAAGAAUAACAAACUGAUUAUAAAAAUACACAAAAAACAACCGAAGCAGGCCAGUAAAAAAAAAAAAAAAAAUACCUACCUACCGACCCUAAUUUUUUGGGGCAUGCAACAGGAAACACACCUAUUUUUUUUUUUGGCCUAAAUACAUCAUAAAGCCAUAGGAACUAACAUUUUAAACUGAUUUUUAAUAUUUCAAUAUCAAAAUAGAUCUUUACUAGUGGAAAGACCUACAAUUGUUCUCUGAACAAUUGGUUUUUAAUU
rnacentral:lncRNA from 1 species